CUUACACUCGCCACAAGCUACAUCAGAGUCACAUUAGUACAUUAUAUAAUCAUCAAGAGUAAGAGCAGGGUCCGACUACGGACAAAAACAAACGAGAAAAAUAAGAACGACGUCCAUCCUUGCUAUCCCAGGCUGCCGGCCUGGAACCCAUCCUAGAUCGAUGAAGAAGAAGAAGAAGAAGAAGCAACUCCAAAUGAACAAUCAACGCGCUCGCGUCAAGUAACCUUUACUUGUACCUGCA
rnacentral:lncRNA from 1 species